GCCAACGUGACUCAAUGGUAGAGUAGCUCAUUCGUAAUGAGCAAGUUGAAGGUUCGAUUCCUUUCGUUGGCUCCA
rnacentral:tRNA from 1 species